AGCAGCCGCGGUAAUUCCAGCUCCAAUAGCGUAUAUUAAAGUUGUUGCAGUUAAAAGCUCGUAGUUGAAUUUCGGGGUUUAUCCGUUGGUCGGGCUUUUUGGUCUGUACUGGCGUGAUGGAUUCCUACCUUCUGAAUAACCGGCAUGCCAUUAAUUUGGUGCGCCGGGGAAGCAGGACUGUUACCUUGAAAAAAUUAGAGUGCUUAAAGCAGGCUCACGCUUGAAUACAUUAGCAUGGAAUAAUGAAAUAGGACGUAUGAUCCUAUUUUGUUGGUUUCUAGGAUUGACGUAAUGAUUAAUAGGGAUAGUUGGGGGGCAUUAGUAUUCAAUUGUCAGAGGUGAAAUUCUUGGAUUUAUUGAAGACUAACUACUGCGAAAGUCAUUUGCCAAGGAUGUUUUCAUUAAUCAAGAACGAAAGUUAGGGGAUCGAAGACGAUCAGAUACCGUCGUAGUCUUAACCAUAAACUAUGCCGACUAGGGAUCGGAUGAUGUUAAUUUUUUCAAUGACUCAUUCGGCGCC
rnacentral:rRNA from 1 species